rfam:Triticum aestivum genome assembly, contig: Triticum_aestivum_CS42_TGACv1_scaffold_320835_4BL
CAUGUACUCCCUCCGUCCCAAAAUUCUUGUCUUAUAUUUGUCUAGAUAUGAAUGUAUCUAAUAUUAAAACGUGACUUGAUACAUCCAUCUCUAAACAAAUCUAAGAUAAGAAUUUUAGGACGGAGGGAGUAUGUA